AUUGAACGCUGGCGGCAGGCCUAACACAUGCAAGUCGAACGGUAACAGGAAGAAGCUUGCUUCUUUGCUGACGAGUGGCGGACGGGUGAGUAAUGUCUGGGAAACUGCCUGAUGGAGGGGGAUAACUACUGGAAACGGUAGCUAAUACCGCAUAACGUCGCAAGACCAAAGAGGGGGACCUUCGGGCCUCUUGCCAUCGGAUGUGCCCAGAUGGGAUUAGCUAGUAGGUGGGGUAACGGCUCACCUAGGCGACGAUCCCUAGCUGGUCUGAGAGGAUGACCAGCCACACUGGAACUGAGACACGGUCCAGACUCCUACGGGAGGCAGCAGUGGAGAAUAUUGCACAAAGGGCGCAAGCCUGAUGCAGCCAUGCCGCGUGUAUGAAGAAGGCCUUCGGGUUGUAAAGUACUUUCAGCGGGGAGGAAGGGAGUAAAGUUAAUACCUUUGCUCAUUGACGUUACCCGCAGAAGAAGCACCGGCUAACUCCGUG
rnacentral:rRNA from 1 species